GCAGUAGUUGUAGCAGAAGUAGUAGUAGAAGUAGUAGUAGUAGUAGCAGUAGUUAUAGCAGAAGUAGUAGUAGAAGUAGUAGUAGUUGUAGCAGUAGUUAUAGUAGCAGUAGUAGUAGCAGCAGUAGUAGUAGUAGUAGCAGUAGCAGUAGUAGUAGCAGCAGUAGUAGUAGUAGCAGUAGUAGUAGUUGUAGCAUCAGUAGCAGUAUAAGUAGUUGUAGUGGUAGCAGUAGCAGUAGCAGCAGCAUUAGUAGUAGUAGU
rnacentral:lncRNA from 1 species